ACGGUCAGGGGGCCUUCUCCGGAGCCGCCGGCCCCGGGACACCGGCCCAGCGGACCCCCGCCGCCCCGCAGCUGCCUCACAGGCCGGGGAACAAGCAAAGGGAGACUCUGGAGGCGAGAGGACGUGGCGGCCAGAGGCCCGGGUUCAGAUCCGAGCUCACUGUCCGCCGCGGGGAGGCCUCGGCAGGUAGCCGGCCGCCCGCUGCCUCCGGUUCCUUCUCCGGGACGGGAAGGAGGCGCCGGCCCGGACCCCGCCCCGCGGGGCGGAGCGGAGGGAGGGCGCCCCGCCCUGAGGAAGCGGAGAGGGUAAGGGAGGGCCUGGGGGGGGGGGAACCCCGGACGGAGCGAUGGAAACGGCCGCCUGGUCUGACCGCAGCCCCCGCGGCCCGGAAGCACCGUCACUGACCCACGUGACCGUCCGUGCGGAGCUCGCACUUGACCCUGAGUCCAGGGACUCGGACCAGGUGGCGCCACUCAGGCCGAGCCCCCUCCGCUCCCUCGGCUCCGGGCUUUUCUCCCUCCGCCACAGGCGCCCCGCUCCACACCCCGCCGCCCGCAGUCUCCCCGCAGGGCGGCUCCCCCUCUUCUUUUAGGGGCGACGGGGAAGGGGAGCUGGUCUGUUUGGAAGCUCAGCGAGUCCCACGGGUGUCGUCUCACAUCCUCCUCAGACGUUCCCGCCGCUCGCUGCCUCCGGGAGGACGGUCCCGGGUUCGAAUCAGAGGUUGCACGGACACCAGAUGACUAUCCUCCUUAGAGCGGCAGGCACAGGAGGGGACACGGAGGGCCCGAGGCUGGUCUGACACCACGCCCGGGCGGCACACGAAGCACAGCCUCUCCCCGAGGAGUUACAAGUUGCACAACUUCAAUCCCACAAAGAAUUCCCUGCGACACAGCCUGGCUGAGACAUCAGCGCCCGGGACAC